AGCGUAGGUGGUCCUGCAAGUCUGAUGUGAAAGGCCGGGGCUCAACCCCGGGACUGCAUUGGAAGCUGUAGGACUAGAGUGUCGGAGGGGUAAGUGGAAUUCCUAGUGUAGCGGUGAAAUGCGUAGAUAUUAGGAGGAACACCAGUGGCGAAGGCGGCUUACUGGACGACUACUGACGCUGAGGCUCGAAAGCGUGGGGAGCAAACA
rnacentral:rRNA from 1 species